CAAUGCUUGACCUCCUCUCCCUUUGGGUUUGAAGCUCUAGAAAGAAGUACCUCCCUCCCUUUCCUCUUAGCCAUCACUUGUAACAUGUCAGCGGACGUGAGCACAUGAACGGUUGGAGACGUCUGCAGGUGGCCUUUUGAAAACGAACUGCAAUCGGCCUGUUCAUCAUUUCAAGGGAUUCGUUGAUACUGACAAAUGUGAAGACGCCGUGAGCGUUCGCCGUCAUGUCUUGCUCACGAAAGAAGAGAUAACUACAGUGCCCCUGAACGUCGACCUGAUACAAGACCGCAUGAUGCGGACGUUUCAGUAUUGCCAAGAAUUGAUCCUCAGCGAGGCUGGAGUCCGCACAGUCCUUGAGGAAUUUCUGGCAAUGACGAUUCCCGGAAUGUUACUACAAGACGUUAAACUGCCGUUCGGCAAAGACAUUCGGAGG